rnacentral:lncRNA from 1 species
UAACUAUUCUACCCAUGGGGCUGAGAAAGUAAAGGCUAAGUGCUAGAAAGAGGGCUGUGCUGCACACUGAGCGAAUGACUCCCUACUAUCUCAAACAAAAUGAAGAGUGGCUGAGCACACUGUGGUAUUCUGGACAUAAUAAAAAGGCGAAGGAACUGUGCUUUAUCUGCAGUAACCAUUCUCACAUUGCAGAGUAGAAACUCCUCCUCAUCUCAGCACAAAGAGCAGGUAAGGAGAGCAUCCUUUUCCAACCAGGAAGUUCUGAAGCCAAAAGUGAGUCACACGCCAAGCACAACUCACGCCUUGCAAGACAUCAACAGGCAGCCAUAUCCUCACCUUCCGACUGUGCUGGGUGUUUGAAGAUGAACGGAAUAGAAAAGUGUCUUCAGACCGUGGUAAUGCAGGCCCGAG